GAUGAACGCUAGCGGCAGGCCUAACACAUGUAAGUCGAGGGGUAGAAGGAGCUUGCUCCUUUGAGACCGGCGUACGGGUGCGUAACGCGUAUGCAAUCUACCUUUUACAGAGGGAUAGCCCAGAGAAAUUUGGAUUAAUACCUCAUAGUAUAUAUCAUUCGCAUGUUUGGUAUAUUAAAGUUCCAACGGUAAAAGAUGAGCAUGUGUCCCAUUAGUUAGUUGGUAAGGUAACGGCUUACCAAGACGAUGAUGGGUAGGGGUCCUGAGAGGGAGAUCCCCCACACUGGUACUGAGACACGGACCAGACUCCUACGGGAGGCAGCAGUGAGGAAUAUUGGUCAAUGGACGCAAGUCUGAACCAGCCAUGCCGCGUGCAGGAAGACGGUCCUAUGGAUUGUAAACUGCUUUUGUACGGGAAGAAACACUCCUACGUGUAGGAGCCUGACGGUACCGUAAGAAUAAGGAUCGGCUAACUCCGUGCCAGCCGCCGCUGUAA
rnacentral:rRNA from 1 species